rnacentral:rRNA from 1 species
UACGUAGGGGGGCAAGCGUUUGUCCGGAUUUAUUGGGCGUAAAGAGCGUGUAGGCGGCUUGGUAGGUCUUGCGUCAAAACCUGAGGCUCAACCUCAGUUCGCGUGGGAAACCAUCUAGCUAGAGUCCGGAAGAGGAGAACGGAAUUCCCAGUGUAGCGGUGAAAUGCGCAGAUAUUGGGAGGAACACCAGUGGCGAAGGCGGCGACCUGGGCCAAUACUGACGCUGAGGUGCGAAAGCGUGGGGAGCAAACAGG